rnacentral:tRNA from 1 species
GGGUCGUUAGCUCAGUUGGUAGAGCAGUUGACGUUCAAUCAAUUGGUCGCAGGUUCGAAUCCUGCACGAGCCA